rnacentral:rRNA from 1 species
GUAGGGAAACCGAGUCUUAACUGGGCGAAUGAGUUGCAGGGUAUAGACCCGAAACCCGGUGAUCUAGCCAUGGGCAGGUUGAAGGUUGGGUAACACUAACUGGAGGACCGAACCGACUAAUGUUGAAAAAUUAGCGGAUGACUUGUGGCUGGGGGUGAAAGGCCAUCAAACCGGGAGAUAGCUGGUUCUCCCCGAAAGCUAUUUAGGUAGCGCCUCGUGAACUCAUCUUCGGGGGUAGAGCACUGUUUCGACUAGGGGGUCAUCCCGACUUACCAACUCGAUGCAAACUACGAAUACCGAAGAAUGUUAUCACGGGAGACACACGGCGGGUGCUAACGUUCGUCGUGAAGAGGGAACAACCCAGACCGCCAGCUAAGGUCCCAAAGUCAUAGUUAAGUGGGAAACGAAGUGGGAAGGCUCAGACAGCCAGGAUGUUGGCUUAGAAGCAGCCAUCAUUUAAAGAAAGCGUAAUAGCUCACUGGUCGAGUCGGCCUGCGCGGAAGAUGUAACGGGGCUAAACUAUGCACCGAAGCUGCGGCAGCGAUAUGUAAUAUUGUUGGGUAGGGGAGCGUUCUGUAAGCCUGUGAAGGUGUGCUGUGAGGCAUGCUGGAGGUAUCAGAAGUGCGAAUGCUGACAUAAGUAACGAUAAUGCGGGUGAAAACCCGCACGCCGGAAGACCAAGGGUUCCUGUCCAACGUUAAUCGGGGCAGGGUGAGUCGACCCCUAAGGCGAGGCAGAAAUGCGUAGUCGAUGGGAAACGGGUUAAUAUUCCCGUACUGGUGAUAAUUGCGAUGGGGGACGGAGAAGGCUAGGCUAUCCGGGCGACGGUUGUCCCGGUUUAAGGAUGUAGGCAGGUGAAUUAGGCAAAUCCGGUUCACUACAUGCUGAGGUCCGACGACGAGUCACUACGGUGAUGAAGUAGCUCAUGCCCCGCUUCCAGGAAAAGCCUCUAAGCUCUAGAUUAUCAUUAAUCGUACCCCAAACCGACACAGGUGGUCAGGUAGAGAAUACUCAGGCGCUUGAGAGAACUCGGGUGAAGGAACUAGGCAAAAUGGUGCCGUAACUUCGGGAGAAGGCACGCUGGCAUUAGGUGAAGUGAUUUACUCAUGGAGCUGAAGCCAGUCGCAGAUACCAGCUGGCUGCAACUGUUUAUUAAAACACAGCACUGUGCAAACACGAAAGUGGACGUAUACGGUGUGACGCCUGCCCGGUGCUGGAAGGUUAAUUGAUGGGGUUAUCCGUAAGGAGAAGCUCUUGAUCGAAGCCCCAGUAAACGGCGGCCGUAACUAUAACGGUCCUAAGGUAGCGAAAUUCCUUGUCGGGUAAGUUCCGACCUGCACGAAUGGCGUAAUGAUGGCCAGGCUGUCUCCACCCGAGACUCAGUGAAAUUGAACUCGCUGUGAAGAUGCAGUGUACCCGCGGCAAGACGGAAAGACCCCGUGAACCUUUACUAUAGCUUGACACUGAACAUUGAGCCUUGAUGUGUAGGAUAGGUGGGAGGCUUUGAAGCGUGGACGCCAGUCUGCGUGGAGCCAACCUUGAAAUACCACCCUUUAAUGUUUGAUGUUCUAACGUUGCCCCAUUAUCUGGGGUGCGGACAGUGUCUGGUGGGUAGUUUGACUGGGGCGGUCUCCUCCCAAAGAGUAACGGAGGAGCACGAAGGUUGGCUAAGCAUGGUCGGACAUCAUGCGGUUAGUGCAAAGGCAUAAGCCAGCUUGACUGCGAGAGUGACGGCUCGAGCAGGUACGAAAGUAGGUCUUAGUGAUCCGGUGGUUCUGAAUGGAAGGGCCAUCGCUCAACGGAUAAAAGGUACUCCGGGGAUAACAGGCUGAUACCGCCCAAGAGUUCAUAUCGACGGCGGUGUUUGGCACCUCGAUGUCGGCUCAUCACAUCCUGGGGCUGAAGUAGGUCCCAAGGGUACGGCUGUUCGCCGUUUAAAGUGGUACGCGAGCUGGGUUUAGAACGUCGUGAGACAGUUCGGUCCCUAUCUGCCGUGGGCGUUGGAAGAUUGAAAGGGGCUGCUCCUAGUACGAGAGGACCGGAGUGGACGCACCACUGGUGUUCGGGUUGUCAUGCCAAUGGCAUUGCCCGGUAGCUAAGUGCGGAAGAGAUAACCGCUGAAAGCAUCUAAGCGGGAAACUUGCCUUGAGAUGAGUCUUCCCUGACCCUUAAAGGGUCCUAAAGGAACGUUUAAGACUAAGACGUUGAUAGGUUGGGUGUGUAAGCGUAGCGAUACGUUGAGCUAACCAAUACUAAUGAACCGUGAGGCUUAACCUG